rnacentral:lncRNA from 1 species
GAGAAGGGAGCUAUCUCCAGAGUACAGAUAUGAGGAGCAGUGCAUGCUCUUAACAUCUGAGUGACCCCUUUAUCUUCUCAUAGUCACCAACUUACGAGGAGCUCGAGAAACAUAAUCCAGGACCAAAAUUAUCUUCAUGGAUUCAAAGGAACUGAAAGCCGAAUCCUGCAGAACUGAUGCACUGAAGUGAGAAAUACAGAGCUCUCCUGGGCAUGCAGAGCCUUGGGCUGCAGCCACGCCUUUCAUCCUCCCUCUGCCUCACUCUCCCACCUUCUCUGCCCGAAUUCUUCAACUAGAAGCACAUGAG